rnacentral:rRNA from 1 species
AACGUAGGUGGCAAGCGUUAUCCGGAUUUACUGGGCGUAAAGCGUGCGCAGGCGGUUUGCUAAGACAGGUGUGAAAUCCCCGGGCUUAACCUGGGAACUGCGCUUGUUACUGGCAGGCUUGAGUGUGGCAGAGGGGGGUGGAAUUCCACGUGUAGCAGUGAAAUGCGUAGAGAUGUGGAGGAACACCGAUGGCGAAGGCAGCCCCCUGGGCUAACACUGACGCUCAUGCACGAAAGCGUGGGGAGCAAACAGG